rnacentral:lncRNA from 1 species
CAGUCAGGCUCCUGGCAGGAGUCCUGCUCUCAGCUGGUUCCAGGCUCUAGCCAGGGGCUUGACUGCAAGCUGCUCAUCGAGAAGGAUGGAUGCUCCUGAGACCUGCAGUAGACAGAGCCACAAGACACACAGCAUUUGCAGGGAUGUUGUGGGAAUCCCCACAAUCAUACUCACCUGUUCCUGUUAUCUCUGCUUGGAAUUAUUUAAUCCUGCUUUGGCGUUAAGACUGAUUAUUUCUGAGGCAAGAUUAGAGUCCGACUUCAGUUGCAGCAAGGGUGAUUCACUUCAGCCUUCAGAAACUGACAGAAACCUGAGACUUCUGUCGUUCCCGUGAAGAACUGUGAAGAACUUCUAUAUCACGAUUACACAUUUGAGAAAAAUGAAGAGAAUAUUAACUACAAAGGAUUUUUUAAUGGUGUAUUUUAUGAAGGCAAGACAAGACUGUGUAUUUCUAAGGUGAGUGGUUAUUGAAGGGUAACAUACAGAAAAGACAACAAUCUAAAUAGUUUUUCCUCCAUUAGAUAAUGUAGUUAGCCCAUAUACACUAUUGAAAUUUAGAUUUUACAAUAUAGAUUAAGAGUCAUCAGUAAUGGCUCCAUUAGGUUUUGUAUUUUCCAGUUAGGGUGUUUUGGAUCCACAGGUUUUAUAUAAAGGAACACAACAGUGAACUGAACUAAGUAAAAUAUAGCUUGUAAUAGGAUAAAAGAAGCAUUUUGCAGAGUAGCACCCAUAAACAACAGGGGUCUGCAUUAUAUUUUGGUGCAUCCAUUCAUUCUUGAAUAUUCAGGAAAGACAAUAGAGGUAAAACACUAGGGCUCAUAAGUCAGAUUCCUCUGUUCUGUGCACCUGCGGAUAUUCUCCUACUAGGUACUUGCUUUCUAUGAUAAAUAUGUAUGAGUAUGGUCUAGUUUCACUGAACUCCAGUUCCUCAUUUUAUUACUACACUUUAGAUAUCAUCUCCUCAUCAUAGUAUAUACAGAUAGGACUUCUCAGAAGUGAGAAAUUUCUCUUGUCCUGGCUGUAAAGAGAAUUCUUGCAAAUGCUUAUGUUAUGUUACGAAUCUUGACUAAUAUGGAGACUUUGUCCACAUUUUCUCUAAUCAGAUGCCCACAAACCCAUCCCAUUCAUCAUGGCUUUAGCUAAUUUCUUGUUGUAGAGCCUCUGACCUUUUGUGGCUACUUCUAUAUAUUCAUGAAUUGUUGCUAUGCAGAAUCCUUGCAUGUGUGGUUGUGUAAUAAAAUAUAAUAUAGGUGAUUGAUACUAAUAGGCAGUUGGUAUUUGUAAAUUGUCAAAGUGAUCAAAUGGCAGUAGCAUGAAUGCAGUUCUAUCAUUUGAAUACUUGUUGGAUGAGUUUGAAAGGACUGUCAUCUUCCUGUAACUGGUUUUUGUUGGUAGGCCCCACACUCAAUACCAUUUUAGAGGUAUCAAGUCCACAAAGUCAGCUGGUGUCUCUGGGAAAGACGUCAAACCUACAUAUCUAAGGACUAGACUGGAAUGUAAUGAGUACCAAAUACAAAUCUGUGAGGCAUUACCAACCCUAUUGUGGCUGAUGGUGGGAUCAUAACAGUAAUUGUUUCUCUGGGAUAUCUUUGAAUUACCGUGUUGCACAGGGUUAUCUUCUACAUCAUAUAAUUAUACCUUGGAAACAUUAGCUGUGCCAAUUUGUAAAAGACAUUCAGGUGGACUGUUUCUAUCUCCAGAGUAAAGAGCAGACAUAAAGAAAACAUGAUCUAAGUAUUCACCCCUUUACUACUACCCAUUACUGCAACAUUACACUUGCUCUCCAAAAUGAAUAAAUGUAUAUGAGGUAGGUUAUCAGUGUAAGCAGGAUCCAUUUAUGCAUCUAUGGAAAAUAUAUCAUCUAUGCUGAGUAGAACUUCUAGGUAGAGGAUUUGAGUGGGAGUACCAUUCACACUCCACAUAAGGACAUGCAUUCUGUGCUUUGUAGGUAAAACCAAAACUUCAAUGAUUCCCCAAUUUUUGUUUAGUUUGAAAUUGAUUUGUCAAGAGGAACAUAGUAGGACCUGUAGACAUUGUUUACAUCUCUUCCUAUGGGAAGGGAUUAUGGUAGUAUAUGGGGUAGUUAAGGUUUACAACAAAACAUUAUAGAUUUAAGAAGAACAGUGAUGCUCUUGACAUGAUGAUGUGAGACACAUAGCUAAAACAAAAUUGCAUGGUAUAGUGAGACACAUAGGUGAAGCAAAAUUGCAUCGUGUAGUGGAGUUUUCAGAAGACAAUUUUACAUAGAAUUUGCUUCCAACUGGACUUAAGAGGUCAGUAGAAAGUUUAGAAAAUGUUUAAGUGCAAUGAGACAUGCCAUUAGGGUGAUCCCACAUGGGCCAUUAGAGAAUGAGAUACUUGGAUGAUCAUUAGAGAAGCUACCCAUAUGAAGCAGCAGCUAAAGUGCAAUAUAGAUGAGAUAAGUGCUACUGAGAACAUUAGGUAUGAGGAAAGCAGUCUAUGCUGAUGUGCAGUUGACUGGGGCUGAUAGCUCUGUGCUCACCAGAAUC